rnacentral:rRNA from 1 species
AAUAGCUCAAAUUUGAAAGCUGGCGUCUUCGACGUCCGCGUUGUAAUUUGUAGAGGAUGUUUCGGCGAGGGCUCCUGCCUAAGUUCCCUGGAAUGGGACGUCACAGAGGGUGAGAAUCCCGUAUGUGGCGGGCGGCCUUAGCCAUGUGAAACUCCUUCGACGAGUCGAGUUGUUUGGGAAUGCAGCUCUAAAUGGGAGGUAAAUUUCUUCUAAAGCUAAAUACCGGCCAGAGACCGAUAGCGCACAAGUAGAGUGAUCGAAAGAUGAAAAGCACUUUGGAAAGAGAGUUAAAAAGUACGUGAAAUUGUUGAAAGGGAAGCGCUUGCAACCAGACUCGUUCGCAGUUGCUCAGCCCGCCUCUUGGUGGGUGUACUCUUCUGCGGUCGGGCCAGCAUCAGUUCGGGCGGUCGGAUAAAGGUGUCGGGAAUGUAGCACCCUUCGGGGUGUGUUAUAGCCCGGCGCGGAAUGCGGCCAGCCUGGACUGAGGAUCUCGCUUCGGCAAGGAUGCUGGCGUAAUGGUUGUAAGCGGCCCGUCUUGAAACACGGACCAAGGAGUCUAACAUCUAUGCGAGUGUUUGGGUGUCAAACCCAUGCGCGUAAUGAAAGUGAACGGAGGUGGGAACCCGCAAGGGUGCACCAUCGACCGAUCCUGAUGUCUUCGGAUGGAUUUGAGUAAGAGCAUAGCUGUUGGGACCCGAAAGAUGGUGAACUAUGCCUGAAUAGGGUGAAGCCAGAGGAAACUCUGGUGGAGGCUCGCAGCGGUUCUGACGUGCAAAUCGAUCGUCAAAUUUGGGUAUAGG